AGAGUUUGAUUAUGGCUCAGAAUUAACGCUAGCGGCAGGCCUUAUACAUGCAAGUCGAGGGGUAACAUGGUAUAGUAAUAUAUUGAUGACGACCGGCGUACGAGUGAGUAAUAUAUACAUAACUUACCUUAUCUUAAGUAAUAGCCUCAAGAAAUUGGGAUUAAUAACUUAUAUGUUGUAAAUUGAGAUAUUUACAAUAAAAGAUUUUUCGAGAUAAAAUAGGUGUAUAUUCUAUUAGUUAGUUGGUGAGGUAAAUGCUUACCAAGACGAAGAUAGAUAGUGGCUUUAAGAGAAGGUUCACCACGUUGGCACUGAAACACGGGCCAAACUUCUACGGAAGGCAGCAGUAGGGAAUAUUGGUCAAUGGGCGCAAGCCUGAACCAGCCAUGUCGCGUGCAGGAUUAAUGUCUUUUAGACUGUAAACUGCUUUUAUUUUGUAGCAAUAAGAAUUUUGUGAAAUUUUAUGAUCUACAUUAAGAAAAUGUACCGGCUAACUCUGUGCCAGCAGCCGC
rnacentral:rRNA from 1 species